AAGCCAUGCAUGUCUAAGUAUAAGCAAUUAUACCGUGAAACUGCGAAUGGCUCAUAAAUCAGUAUCGUUAUUGAUAAAUACCUUACUACUUGGAUAACCCGUGGUAAUUCUAGAGCUAAUACAUGCUGAAAAUCCCGACUUCGGAAGGGAUGUGUUUAUUAGAUAAAAAACCAAUGCCCUUUCGGGGCUCCUUGGUGAUUCAUGAUAACUUUACGGAUCGCAUAGCCUUGCGCUGGCGACGGUUCAUUCAAAUUUCUGCCCUAUCAACUUUCGAUGGUAAGGUAUUGGCUUACCAUGGUUUCAACGGGUAACGGGGAAUUAGGGUUCGAUUCCGGAGAGGCAGCCUGAGAAACGGCUACCACAUCCAAGGAAGGCAGCAGGCGCGCAAAUUACCCAAUCCCGACACGGGGAGGUAGUGACAAUAAAUACUGAUACAGGGCUCUUUUGGGUCUUGUAAUUGGAAUGAGUACAAUUCAAAUCUCUUAACGAGGAACAAUUGGAGGGCAAGUCUGGUGCCAGCAGCCGCGGUAAUUCCAGCUCCAAUAGCGUAUAUUAAAGUUGUUGCAGUUAAAAAGCUCGUAGUUGAAACUUGGGCCUGGCUGGCGGGUCCGCCUCACCGCGUGCACUCGUCCGGCCGGGCCUUCCUUCUGAAGAACCUCAUGCCCUUCACUGGGCGUGCUGGGGAAUCAGGACUUUUACUUUGAAAAAAUUAGAGUGUUCAAAGCAGGCCUUUGCUCGAAUACGUUAGCAUGGAAUAAUAAAAUAGGGCGUGCGUUUCUAUUUUGUUGGUUUCUAGAGACGCCGCAAUGAUUAACAGGAACAGUCGGGGGCAUCAGUAUUCAGUUGUCAGAGGUGAAAUUCUUGGAUUUACUGAAGACUAACUACUGCGAAAGCAUUUGCCAAGGAUGUUUUCAUUAAUCAGUGAACGAAAGUUAGGGGAUCGAAGACGAUCAGAUACCGUCGUAGUCUUAACCGUAAACUAUGCCGACUAGGGAUCGGGCGAUGUUCUUUUUCUGACUCGCUCGGCACCUUACGAGAAAUCAAAGUUUUUGGCUCUGGG
rnacentral:rRNA from 1 species